AUUCCCAUGUGCCCUUUCCCGAAUCAUUCAUGUGUGCCCCUAUUCCCACAGAGUCCCCCAAAGGGAUUCACAGUUUACAGGCAGCCUGAGCCACUUUGGAACUGGUUUUUCUGUUCAGGGCUUGGCAGAUAAAGGUUCCAGCUUCCAGGAGCUUCUGGAGGUUCACACCCUUUGAGAAACAACGCACUAGGUCAUGACAUGCCUGCAACGCCCAGGGAAAUAUCAGACGACAGAAAACCGUGAUACUGAGAGUACAGGUCCCUCUUAUGCCGGGACUGCCCCUGCCUGCAAGGCCCAGCCUCCUGCCGUCUGGGGUUACCCAUGGGACUCUCCUUGUAGAAGAUGCCUUAGUCUGUGGAUUGGUGUCCGGUGCUGCCACCAGGGAGCGCAGGGGUCUCGACAGUCUUGUUCAGUCCCCAUCUCCAGAGCCCUGCACAGGACCUGGCCUGCAGUCGUCGACAAGUGUGUACUGAAGUAGUGAAGACUGCCAGGCAGCAUGGAUUGGGAGGUGGGGAGGACACACUACCUGAAAGGGCCACCCUGAAAACCCGUCCGUGACAGGAGCUCACAGGUGCGUCCGUUGUCCUACCUAGUCCUCACUACAGGCCCACAAGAGGUGCUGUCAGCAUUCCUGUUUCUUAGGCCCACAGAGGUGAAGCCCUUUGUUAAGUCACACAGCCUGUCAAUGGCAGGACUAGGGUUUAAACCAAGUUCCACCUGGUCCCAAAGUUCAGAAGCAAUACGGCUUCCAACCACCGAGGGCCCUCACCGACUCUGACAGAGCUCUGGGGAGGGCCAUCUCCUUCUCCAGCCCUCAUUCUACAUGGAACAAAGAUCCAGAGGGAAGGGACUCAGGUCAUGGAUGUGGCCCUUUCCCUACACCUUGGUGCCUCUCUGUUACCUGGUAACUGCCCUAUCACCAAAAAAAAACCUAAACAAAACCAUCAGCUCUGUCCUCUGGCUUCAGGGAUGGUUCCAGUCAGUUCGGGGCUGUCGCCACUAGGGGGCAGGCGCGCUUACCGUGUGAAUGCCCAAGCCAGACAGCAUGUAGACAAGGUCCUCAGUGGCCAAGUUUCCAGAUGCCCCCCGUGCAUAGGGACAGCCUCCAAGUCCUGCCACGGAAGAGUCCACCACGCUCACUCCCAUCUGGAAACACAAGGAUGGUGAAAUAUGGGUGUCAUUGUGGGGCUCAGAACCUACAAAGCUGUUCCUCGGCAAAACUCCCAAUCAACUCCCUGAAAUUCCAACAAGUUCUUUACUUUGGCUAAGGAUUCUGUUAAUGUUUCUCUUUUUAGUUCAACAGUGUCCAUCUUUUUUGUGGACACCGGUUCCUCUGCCAGGGUAUCUUCCCUCAUUCCUUCCAUGCUCAACUCCUCACCCUGAGAGGUCUCCUCAGGCCCUUCCGGAUCACAAACUCAAAGGAAGUGCCUCCCACAGCUGAGAUUUAUUUCAGACCCCUGUUGUUUACUGUGACUCCUUUACCCACUCCACCACCCCCGCCGAGGCUGCUCUCACUUCAGACCUUAACCUGGACAGCUACAAUGGAGAAACCAAACCCAAAAAGUUACCGAAUCACGUGGCUUAGAGACCUGAGCCUCCAGGAGAAAGCAGAGACGUGAGGGCACAGAGCUGAUCACUGGAGCGGCCCUGCACUGCAGCCCCAUGACGUCCUCCUGCCCUCUCCUGCUGCUGUGCCUUGGACCUCGUUCCACUCUUACUGCCCCUACACAGUGUCAGAGCCAAGUCCUGGAAUCAGGUGACACUGACAAUCAAGCAGUGUAAGCUCUGGGGUUGGUCAAACUCAGUUCCCACGGUGCGCUCUCCAGUGCUGACCUGGUCACAGCUCAGAGGACUCGGAGGCCAUGGCCCCUCCGACCACCGCGAGGAACCGCAGGGAGCCGGGGGACCUCUGCCAUCAAGUUUCUUACCGCUGCCUGGAAGCCUUUGAUAUUUGGGGUCAGGACUGGGUAGUUGAUGCCAGGAAAUUUCUGGAUGCCCUUCAAGACUUCAGCACAGUCAGCCAUCUGGGAGCCAAAGGAGACAUGGCCACGUCACUGCCAAGGCAGGCAGAGAGCUCAGAGAACCCUGGGGCAAUGUUUACCUGUGUCAUACAUGAGAAAACGGAGGUUCAGAGAGCAAGUAAUCGUCAUUCAACCUAGAAAGUGGCAGCACCACUGGAAGACCCACAGCUUCAGCUGUAGCCCAAACAAUUUCUUCAACCCUGAGGAACCAGCUCUGCUACACUUCCCCUGACUCCCUGAGCAGGGGCGGGGGUAAACACCGGGCCCCACGCCCGAAGGACCAUUCCAGGGGAGUCGCACACGGCCAGACGCGGCCCCAGUCCUCCCUGGCGCUGGCGCUGCCGUAGCUCUCCCAGUGUCCCCCAGGCACAACACCGGCUGGAAACGCAGGCGGAGGCGGAGGGGGGGGCGGGGACCUUGCUUUUUUCCACUCGGAACGGGAAGAUUAUUCGUGAUUUUCACUACAAAGGAGCUUGGAGAGUUCGGAAGCUCAGAGCGAGAAGGCGCCAGGGUGGCCGGGAAGAGCCUUGGACGGAAUGGGGACACCUGGGAUGGCGCCCCAGGUCUCUACGACCCGGGCAAGUCGUUCCCCAUCUCUAGGCCUCAGUCUCCCCGGGCCCCUCAAGGGAUCUGCGCGGGACAAAGGAUCCAAGACUCCAAGGCCCUCCCGACUGUGGCGUGAGGAGCUGUCCGGCUUGGCCUCUCAGAGAGCAGCCGCCACGGGCCGGGGCCCCGACCCCGACCGUCACGGUGCCCGCAGGGCCGCCCCUCGGCGGGCCGGGGCACUUACAGCCCGGAGAGACGCCAAGCCCACCAGUCUCCGCGGCACCACCUUCCUCAUGGCCGCCAUCUUGGCCCAGCUUCCCCCGCGCGCCUCCGCUGAGCCCCACGUGACCGGUGACCGCCGACCGCCGACCGCCGAGGGGGCGUGUCCUCGCCCUUAGGGCGGGGCUUCUGGGGCGGUGUGAUGACGUCAACGCGGGCUCUGUUUUCCAGCUUCCGGGUUUUGAUUCUUUCUGGCAAGUUCUUCCUUCCCCCUCACGUUUUUCCUGAGUGCUUCCUACUUGCCAUGGCAAAGUGAGGCUAGGGACUGUGAAGAUAAAGAUAAUCGAAGGAUUUAGAGUCUGCGCGUUGUGGGAAGACAGAUACUGAUAGUCACACAAAUAGUUGUAUAAUUAGUACCUUUUGCAAUAGUAAGAUGAAAUUUGCCCUGCACUGUUCUGAGUUCUUCGCAAAUGUUGACUCUUCCAUCACCAUCUCCAGGAUUCAAAUGCAGGCAGUGGACGGGAGGGAGAGAGAGAGAGAGAGCGCACAAGUGAGCGAGAAGCAUCCUUGAUUUCAUACUUUGAGAAUAAGUAAGAUUUAUCCAGGUGAAGAGGGCACGAGAAAAGCUUUCCAGAGAGUAAAGCAAAUGCAAAGACCCCGAGGCAAAGAAAUGGAAGGCUUAGAGCAGUGUUUUACAAAAUCCAUGUUGUUCUCCAUCAAUUGGUCGUAGCAAUCAAGUGGGUGCCAACUUUCUAAGAAAAAUAAAAACUAUUGGAGUGUAUUGCAUAAGUAGUAAAGCUAAGAAUUGCUUUGCAAA